UAUGUACUGGAGGACUGCUUGGUACUCCUGUUAGCUGUAUGGACUUGAAUGUUUUGCUGAGCUAGAUUUGUGAUGUAGUAUCAGGUCUUUAACAGUGCCUAUAUUUAACAACCUAAACAGCGUUGGAUGCUUCCUGUCUCUCCGUAAAUCGUGGAGAUUUUGCUCAAUGUGAAAAGCCGGUAGGAUCGUGAUAGUCCGAUAAUGCUGUGUUACACAUAUAGCUUACAAUUGUGCUUUACAUGUUGGAGUGAUGUCCAGAUGGUUCUUUGUUGCUUGUCAUACUCUUGUAUUUUUACGUUUUAUAUUAUUUUACCUUAGUUCACAAUUCACAUACAUGUUUAUAUGUCAUUGCCAUGUACAUGUAUAACAUAUAUUUGUGAUUUUAAAGAAAUUUUGUAAAAAGUUAAACAGCGUUUUGGUUUCUGGAUUGCAGUGACCAGGAAGCGUAAAUUAAACAUCGUUUUAUUUUUUGCCUUACAGCAUCAUAUACCAUUGAAUUCAUGUUCUCGAUAUCACAUGAUUUGAUAAAAAAGUUUUGUACUCUGAGUUGAAACAAUGGAAGAUGUAUCGGGUAUUUCAUUAAAUUUUGUAAAUCCAUGAAAUGUUCAAACUCAUUUUUUUUUAGCCAUUAGAAUGUCUUUAAGUAAUUUAUUGACAUUUUCUUGACCUGUUUACAUUUAUAUCCAUUGAUUUUUUCCACAGUUGAUGGCGGAUUAGCCUACAUAAGUCAUAUAAGCUGGUGGAGACUGAACCCGUAUUAAGAUUUGGGGUCAGUCACUUUUUACACAUCAUAAAAAGUCACUGUGCUUAUUUAUCUUUAUUGCACUCUCAUUUACAAUUAUUGUACUGACGAACAUCAGCAACUUGUGUACAUUGUAUUACUUUCGACUAGAUCAUCCAAUCACCUCCUCGUUACCAAGGUCAUUCUCCACGUUACCAAGGUCACUGUAUCAGUGAGGAUACUAUAGUUCAUUUACCUUCAGGUAACUACAGUUACUCGUGUAAAAUUGUUUUACUAUUCUCAUUCAACUGCAACCACUAGCUGUUCCUCCUUAAUAUUCUUUUUACAAGAUGUAUGAUUUUGACAUCAAAUGUCUUGAAAAUGGUACUUUUUUAAUUUGCAGUUUUGGAAAUGAUGUCCACUGUAUUGUGUCAUUUGUAUGUCCAAUUAUUUGUUUGAUAAUCUUACUCGCUCAAAUGCUCAUGUUUAUACGGUCUCAAUAAGAUUUAAAGUUUACAGAAAUAUUUUCAACUUUCAAAAUAUCCGUUAUUGUGAUAGUCAUCUAAAUUAAAGCGCCUAAUAUCAGUGACUAACAUUCAACUGGUUCAGGUCACAGAAUUUAGGUGACUGAACUAAAUAACUCUAUUAAAGCAGCAGAAAUAAUACGCUUAAUUCAUGAAACUGAAAUAAUUCACUUACCCUGGUAAUUCAAGCAACUGAAAUAAGUCAUUUCAAAUUCACUCAAAAGAAGGUAUGCAUCAGUUGAAAUUAUGAAAAGUCGGGGGUGGGCUUAUUACCAGGCAUGGGCUUAUUACCGGUAAAGUACGGUACAUGUAUUAACAUUUUAACAACUCCUACUCUUAACCAGAAUAUUUACUUGUCCUCUGGUGUCUAGAGUGAUGUUGAAUCUGAAAAACUUACAUAAUUCAUUUUAUUUUGUUAACUGUUUUUCACAAGAAAUGUGUGUAUUUUGUUAAGUUAUCAAGUCCUCCUACCUGUUCUUUGUUUUUGUAACAAGCAAGAAAUAAGAUUUUGUUUAAGAGUCAAUAUAAAACAAUUGAGAAGUUUCAUUUAAAGCUGUCUGAUGUCACUUGAAAUGUUGUAGGGUUUUUUUCAUUUUUUUUUUUCAUGAUAACAUGUUUAUGAUAUCUUAUCAUGUUUUCUAUGUUGGUGCUUUUAAUUUGUAUAACCCAUAGAUCAUAAAAUCAUGACAGAUAUACAUUGUUUACUUUCUCAAGAACUUAUAUCAUACCUACCUGACCUGUUCUGUAUUUACCUGUUCAGGUAAGUUAUGUACAGGUGUAUGUUAACAGGUGUUCUUUGAUUACAGGUAGGUGUAAUAACAUCACAUCUGUAAAUAUUUAUAAUGUUUAUUCAGUAAUGUUUUAUUAAAGAUAUUAUUUCUUGGAUGUACAGCAGAAUUGUUGUUUGUUUGUGUGGAAUACAUCUCAAUUCAUAUCAUAUCAGUUAUUGAAAUAUUUAUUUUCAUAAUGCACCAAGUUCUUUCAGUUGGACUGGUAUUUCAUUUACAACAUUUUGAUAUUCGAUUUGAAAAUUUUCCUUAAAAGUGAAUUUGUUUGUACAAGGCCAUUUAUCAUUGACCUUUAUAAAAAAAUAUAUGUAAUGUUAGAUUUUUGUAAUAUCAGAACAUUUCCCAAACAGAACUCCCGUCAAUCUUUAGGCUUAUCAGGUACAUCUUCACAUUUUUGUAUCUAGGUUGAUUGUAUAAAAAAAAAAUCAGGUAUUGUACUGUAUUCAUUGAUCAGCUUAUUUACCAUAGACAUACUCGUGAUUAAAAUAUGUUUUCUUCAGUGAAGAGAAACCAAUGGACCAGUCUUGGUCAUUGUGUAUGAAUAGUGCCAUGUUGUGCUGCAGGUUUUGCACCAGAAAACAAUAUAGUAUUAUGAUAAAAUAAAAAAAAACAUUUGACUAAUUGUGAGUUUUAUAUUUAACCCUGUAUUUGUAGGCGAUAUACAACAGAGAUAAAUACAAUUCCUGCUGUAUAGGCGAGUGUUCUUACUAAAACGUGUGUAGGUUAAGGGUAUAUGAUACUAGUACCUUACUGUGACUAAAUCUAUCUUCUUCGCAAAAGAGUUCCACAGUAAGGUACCUGUAAAAUGUGCUUUCUUUUAACUCAUUCACCACUGAAGAAACAUUUGAACUCUUCCAUUCAAAGGUUGGAAUUGUUCAUUAUGUAAUUCAGGGGUGAACGAGUUAAGGAAAAUAUUCAAAAUGUAAGUUUUGUUAGAUACAAUAGGGCCAGGGUUGAGAGCUUACCUGGGUCACAUUGAAGUCUGCUUGCUAGUUGUAUAUAGUGCUUUAAUGUUGCAGUCAAUUUUUUCAAAGUUUUGUUCUUUAAAAUAAAAUAAAUAGUUUGUAAAUUCCUUACAACACCAUUAUAAGUGAAUAGUACUAUCUAACUCUCAAGCAGUCAGACAACAGAUCACUAGGUUUUUAUUGUGAAAAUCUGUUUAAAGCUUUGAAAUAUAAGUCUAUUUGUUUCACCAAUUCAGCAGAUAUGGAGUUAUUUGAAUUUUGAUUACUGGAGUCAAAGGUCAAGCUUAUAUCUCAAUACUAUAAUGUGUAUUUGUGUCUGUAACUGUCAAUCAUGCAACAUUAAAAAUGAAAUAGU